CCGGAGUACCACUUACUGGGGAAAGAAUUUCAAUAGAGAAAACUCUGACCACGUAAACAGCGUUCAGCGGCCCCGGCAGGCGUUGCCGCAUGCGUCCUUUACACCCGGUAAGACGACGAACGCCGCUACCUGGAGGCAACGCCGUCCCCAAGAACACAACCUGGCGGUAAUUGAAUGAUGAACUCUUUGUGCUUGGCGAUGUGGCGUUUUUAAACCAACCGGCGCCAUAAUGGCACCGGAAAGGAGGUUCCCUGACAGCCUGGGGUGACCCGGAUG
rnacentral:lncRNA from 1 species